rnacentral:lncRNA from 1 species
ACGCCCCUUAGUUCAUUGGUCUUCUACUCCUUCCACUGGGCAUUCACCCUAAGCAGAUGAGACCUGAAUCCCAGGCACUUGCUCUCUUUUCUAUGUUUCUCAGUCCAUCCAGGAAGAGUUUCUUGCCUGACCUGAGAAAUUACCUACUUGAUGACAUCAGGGAAACUUUUAUUCCUUGGGUCAUCCAAGUUUCAUCUCUUGAUUUUUUUUCCUUUUACUUUUUAUCCUCCUUGAUCUGUUAAUAAAUCUCUUGAUAUUUAAAGAGAAGAUUUUGAAAAAAAUGUGUCUCUUCUGUAUAUAUUGACUUUGUAGUUGAGUGCCUGGAUCUUUAAAAUAAUUCUGCUUUGGACUUUUAUAAGAGUCCCAUUUGACAUUCAAGGCUGAACAAUGACUUCUUUCUCUCAGGCUAUACUCCAGUGCCCCUUCAGACAAUUGGUGAAGGGCCAUUAAACAGAAAAAAAAAAAAGUUGGUGAGGAAGAAAAAGGCUCAAUUAAAAAGCUCCAAAUAUGACCCUGCUCUACUACUGUGAACUGAGUACUAUGUGCUUGGAUGUGUUAAGGACGGAGGCCAUUGCCAUGUGAAGAAGGUAGGAAGGUCUCUUUGACUUCAAAGCCCUAGGUUUUCCCCACUGGGCUAUCCCACUUUUCUGGGGCCAUUUCUAGCCUUUUACCUUUUGAUAAACUGAGGCCCAGGAGGCUACUAUGCAAAUCAGUAUUGAAUCCAAGUUCAGGAGCAGUCUAACUUGGGCAAGUCACGUAAGCUUACUUUAUGUAAAACAGGGAUGUUGUGAAGAUUUGAGGUAAUGGAUGCAGAGUUUUGGGCACAGUGUCUAGAAAAAAGUGGGUAUUUGAUAAAU